AAAGCUGCCCCCGCACCGCGAGCGCUUCGAAGGUCCCGCCAUCCAUAAUUAGGCCUGUCCGCCCCCUCAGAGGCCAAAGAGACAGAGAGAAAGAGUGCGAGAGAGAAGAUUAAACAGUCCCACAGACAAACAUUAACCCAGAGCCUGACCCCACCGUCUGUCAAACGAAGCCCAGAGAGAGAAAAAAACGAGAGAGAGGGAGGGAGGGAGAGAGAGAGAGAAAAAGAAAACACAUUCCAUUUCCCGUAAAGCGGGAAAGGGGGAGGGGCAGGGGGAUUUUGGGAAGCACGGUGAGUCAUCACUUUUUCUUUUUCGGAUGGCGUCCCCCCCCCACACCACCAUCCUCUCUCUCUUUCUCUCUCUCUCUCUCUGGUCCAGAGACUUUGAAUAGCUCCAGGACAGCAGUUCUGCCCAGUCAUGCUUCUAGACUGGCUGUAUCAGAUUAUAACAGGCGGCUCUCGGCCACCACACUACCACUAUCAGCACUUCAGCUGCCAUCCUGGCUAACGCUGUGCCGCCACUGCCUACCUCCUGGCUCUCUUUGAAGUGCAACCGGCUGGAGAGAGUGAGAGAGAGAGAGACAGAGAGAGAGAGAGAGAGAGGGACAAACUCAUCCUUUAACUUUGAAACUCAAUGAGGCCGUCAGCACCUGCCAGGCCUGUGGGCUUUGAUCUGACAGCCAGUAAUCUGCACUAACAGGUAGUAUUAAAUACCUCAUUAACCACACAGGCACGAUGGCCCCAAACCCAACGCAACUUUACCAGAGACGACCGCGCUUCUAGAUCACAGAGCAGAUGCCGCCAUGAAACAUGUCUUGUCAUAAUCCAACACUAGGAAUCUUUUUCUUUUUUUUUUUUACUCCAGCACAUAUAAAAAGUUCCCAUGACAGAUGAAAUUUUUCUGGGUCCAUUUUUUUUCCUAGAGAUCUUUCAUACUGACGUCUCAUUGUGCAUUUAUAGAACCUCUACCACUGUCAUCAGGCCUACUUCUGGACAGGCGGUAUUGUUUACUGCCUAUGUGUGGCCGCGGAGCCCCAUUCAUUUGUCUGACUGGUAAACAGCCCUGUGGUCUCGGGGAGGGCUGGGUGCCUGGGCCCAUGCAGAAACCACACCGCAUGCAGCCACCAAUUAGGGGGGCCAUAGCGUGCUUCUGUGAAGCCCUCUAGUGCCCUGGUGCACUGCUCAUGAGCGUGGGGAUGCUUAUCACACACUAAUAAUAACACACACCACAAGCAUGAUGUCAUCGCCUGCAACACAUCAACACACACACGCGCGCACACACACACACGCGCACACACACAUACAGUGACAUACGCUCACACCCCACUCUUACCUCACCUCUAACCUCGCCUCCUCAUGUUUGUAACUGCCUCUCAC
ensembl:lncRNA